GAAACGGUCUUCGGGUGUGCUGGUUGCCCCAGCCUACCUCAGGCAUUAGAACUACAAACAAACCCUGAUGCGACCUCUCCAGAUUGUCCCAAGUCGGUUGAUUUCCCAGCUGUAUUGUGGCCUUCAGCCUUCAGCCUCCACACGAAACUGGAUUUGCCUGAAAUUGGCUCAGCCAAGUUCAAGUACGGCAGAUUUUCGGAAGUGUUUUGCAAAAUCAAAGCACAUAGUCAUCAUCUCAGGGGCCGGUGUUAGUGCAGAAAGUGGGGUUCCGACUUUCAGAGGAGCUGGAGGUUAUCGGAGAAAAUGGCAGGCCCAGGACCUGGCGACUCCCCUGGCCUUUGCCCACAACCUGUCCCGGGUAUGGGAGUUCUACCACUACCGGCAGGAGGUCAUGGUGAGCAAGGAGCCCAACGCCAAGCACCGUGCUAUAGCUGAGUGCGAGGCCCGGCUGGGCAAGCAGGGCCGGCGAGUCGUGAUCAUCACCCAGAACAUCGAUGAACUGCACCACAAGGCUGGCACCAAAAACCUUCUGGAGAUCCAUGGUAGCUUAUUUAAAACUCGAUGUACCUCUUGUGGAGUUGUAGCUGAGAAUUACAGAAGUCCAAUUUGUCCAGCUUUAUCAGGAAGAGGUGCUCCAGAACCUGGAACUCAAAAUGCCAGCAUCCCAGUUGAGAAACUUCCCCGGUGUGAAGAGGCAGGCUGCGGGGGCUUGCUGCGACCUCACGUCGUGUGGUUUGGAGAAAACCUGGAUCUUGCCAUUCUGGAGGAGGUUGACAGAGAGCUCGCUCACUGUGACUUAUGUCUAGUGGUGGGCAUUUCCUCUGUGGUGUACCCAGCAGCCAUGUUUGCCCCCCAGGUGGCUGUAAGGGGCGUGCCAGUGGCUGAAUUUAACAUGGAGACCACCCCAGCUACGAACAGAUUCAGGUUUCAUUUCCAGGGACCCUGUGGAACGACUCUUCCUGAAGCCCUUGCCCCUCAUGAAAAUGAAACUAUUUCUUAAGUGUCCUGGGGAAGAAGGCAAUUAUAUCUAAGAACCAGGCCACACGCAGAGAAGAAAUGGUCUUAUGGCUGGUGAGCUGAAUAUUGAACAAUCUAAAAGUACCCUCUUAUUCCCUAGCUGGAAUCCAACCUGUUGAUAAGUGAUGGGGGUUUGGCAGUAGCAAGAGCACCCACAUUCAGAAGUUACAGGACUGUAAAGUUAAUGCAUAUUAUUUGGUUUGAACUGAAAAGUAAGAUAUCUUUGAUGUGUGUGGUUGAUUAUUGAGAGGGAAAAAUUUAGUAAAUUAGAUUGUCUU